CCUACGGGAGGCAGCAGUGGGGAAUCUUCCGCAAUGGACGAAAGUCUGACGGAGCAACGCCGCGUGUAUGAUGAAGGUCUUCGGAUUGUAAAGUACUGUCUUUGGGGAAGAAUGACUGGCUUGAGAAUAUUGAGUCAGUAUGACGGUACCCAAGGAGGAAGCCCCGGCUAACUACGUGCCAGCAGCCGCGGUAAUACGUAGGGGGCAAGCGUUGUCCGGAAUUAUUGGGCGUAAAGGGCGCGUAGGCGGAUGCUUAAGUCCGGUGUGAAAGAUCAGGGCUCAACCCUGAGAGUGCAUCGGAAACUGGGUAUCUUGAGGACAGGAGAGGAAAGUGGAAUUCCUAGUGUAGCGGUGUAAUACGUAGAUAUUAGGAGGAACACCAGUGGCGAAGGCGACUUUCUGGACUGUAACUGACGCUGAGGCGCGAAAGCGUGGGUAGCAAACAGGAUUAGAUACCCUGGUAGUCCACGCCGUAAACGAUGAGUGCUAGGUGUAGAGGGUAUCGACCCCUUCUGUGCCGCAGUUAACACAAUAAGCACUCCGCCUGGGGAGUACGGCCGC
rnacentral:rRNA from 1 species